rnacentral:rRNA from 1 species
GAUGAACGCUGGCGGCGUGCCUAAUACAUGCAAGUCGAGCGAACAGACGAGGAGCUUGCUCCUCUGACGUUAGCGGCGGACGGGUGAGUAACACGUGGAUAACCUACCUAUAAGACUGGGAUAACUUCGGGAAACCGGAGCUAAUACCGGAUAAUAUAUUGAACCGCAUGGUUCAAUAGUGAAAGACGGUUUUGCUGUCACUUAUAGAUGGAUCCGCGCCGCAUUAGCUAGUUGGUAAGGUAACGGCUUACCAAGGCAACGAUGCGUAGCCGACCUGAGAGGGUGAUCGGCCACAUUGGAACUGAGACACGGUCCAGACUCCUACGGGAGGCAGCAGUAGGGAAUCUUCCGCAAUGGGCGAAAGCCUGACGGAGCAACGCCGCGUGAGUGAUGAAGGUCUUCGGAUCGUAAAACUCUGUUAUUAGGGAAGAACAAAUGUGUAAGUAACUAUGCACGUCUUGACGGUACCUAAUCAGAAAGCCACGGCUAACUACGUG